UUCUGCUGUGUGAAAACCCACUAGGACUCUAUUUCCUGAAGAAUACAUUCUGGAGUUGGAGUCUUCAAUUAACCUCUUAUUCUCUGUCUACAUAAGCUUUAUCUCCCUACAUCUCUACAUUUCCCCCAAUAAGGGGAGUACUGAGGAAGAUAAAAUGGGCCCCGUGAUUCUUCCAGCCAAGGACCCCCAAGUAAGUGAGAGUUUCCUUUUUCCUAAUAUAAUGUGUUGGUUCUCAAAGUAUGGACACGUUUUCCU
rnacentral:lncRNA from 1 species